rnacentral:rRNA from 1 species
UGGGGAAUUUUGCGCAAUGGGGGAAACCCUGACGCAGCAACGCCGCGUGAGUGAUGAAGGCCUUCGGGUCGUAAAGCUCUGUCAGAGGGGAAGAAAUGCAGGGGUGCUAAUAUCAUCUUUGCUUGACGGUACCCUCAAAGGAAGCACCGGCUAACUCCGUGCCAGCAGCCGCGGUAAUACGGGGGGUGCGAGCGUUGUUCGGAAUUAUUGGGCGUAAAGCGCGUGUAGGCGGUUUGGUAAGUCUGAUGUGAAAGCCCCGGGCUCAACCUGGGAAGUGCAUUGGAAACUGUCAGACUUGAAUACGGGAGAGGGUAGUGGAAUUCCGAGUGUAGGAGUGAAAUCCGUAGAUAUUAGGAGGAACACCGGUGGCGAAGGCGGCUACCUGGACCGAUAUUGACGCUGAGACGCGAAAGCGUGGGGAGCAAACAG